rnacentral:tmRNA from 1 species
GGGGAUGAUCGGCUUCGACAAAGAGUUCUAGUGUUUGUGUGCGUUGCGAGAUCGAGUGGAUCUCUAAAAACCAUUCAACCCUAUAAGUGCAAGUAAAACUGCACGCGGAGUUCUCUCACCUCUUCAGGUGAAGGACUUCGGCUUCGCUUACGCGUAAUCGCCUAAGCGACCGUUCAUAGAUUUGAUGUCCGAUAGAAUCUGCUGAACGUCAUUUUUCGGAAUCGAGUAGUGCGCUGCUUCACGUAGUACUUUAAAUCUUAGAAGAUCGACAGAGUGUGAUUUUGUAUUCUCUCUACAUGCCCUGUUUAAAUUUUGGAGAAUACUACGUUACGUAGACUCACUUACAUUUCCUCUUCUGGACGGGGGUUCGAUUCCCCCCAUCUCCACA